rnacentral:rRNA from 1 species
UACGUAGGGUGCGAGCGUUAAUCGGAAUUACUGGGCGUAAAGCGCACGUAGGCGGCUUUGUAAGUUAGAGGUGAAAGCCCGGGGCUCAACUCCGGAAUUGCCUUUAAGACUGCAUCGCUCGAAUUGUGGAGAGGUAAGUGGAAUUCCGAGUGUAGAGGUGAAAUUCGUAGAUAUUCGGAAGAACACCAGUGGCGAAGGCGACUUACUGGACACAUAUUGACGCUGAGGUGCGAAAGCGUGGGGAGCAAACAGG